rnacentral:tRNA from 2 species
GGGCGUUUAGCUCAGUGGCAGAGCGUCUCGUUUACACCGAGAAGGCCGUGGGUUCAAUCCCUACAACGCCCA